CUCCUUACCAUUUCCCGUGUUCUGCCUCUCCCACGGGUUAGCUCCACAGCUGCGUCAGGAAUGCUUUCUGCUGACAAUGCUGCAUUUAAAAAACGUGCAGUUUACCAGGGAAAGAGAGCAAGAAGUGCAUUGCCCGCACCAGAAAGCAGCAACCACAGGAAGUUUGAUUAUGGUCUAAAGUUACAUCGGUGCCUGUUCUGCCUGAGUCUGUGCCACUGAGUCCCAGGUUUGCCCUCCGUUUGCACGGGGCUGAGACAUCUUUGGGUGUAGGACAGGGGUGGCAUCA